rnacentral:rRNA from 1 species
UACGUAGGGGGCAAGCGUUAUCCGGAUUUACUGGGUGUAAAGGGCGUGCAGCCGGGAGUGCAAGUCAGAUGUGAAAUCCCGCGGCUCAACCGCGGAACUGCAUUUGAAACUGUGCUUCUUGAGUGCUGGAGAGGCAGGCGGAAUUCCCAGUGUAGCGGUGAAAUGCGUAGAUAUUGGGAGGAACACCAGUGGCGAAGGCGGCCUGCUGGACAUUAACUGACGCUGAGGCGCGAAAGCGUGGGGAGCAAACAGG